UACGUAGGGGGCAAGCGUUGUCCGGAUUUAUUGGGCGUAAAGAGCGCGUAGGCGGCUAGGCAGGUCCGUUGUGAAAACUCGAGGCUCAACCUCGAGACGCCGAUGGAAACCAUCUGGCUAGAGUCCGGAAGAGGAGAGUGGAACUGCGAGUGUAGAGGUGAAAUUCGUAGAUAUUCGCAAGAACACCAGUGGCGAAGGCGGCUCACUGGCCCGGUACUGACGCUGAGGUGCGAAAGCGUGGGGAGCAAACAGG
rnacentral:rRNA from 1 species